UGCCUUGUCUUCUCUCUCUAGAUUUUGGACAGCAAACCGCCGCGCGUGUGUGCGUGUGACGAAAAAUGAUGGAUGAAAAACGCGAGGAGCGGGGUCUGAAGUCUUUCGUUGGUCACACACACAUGCAUCUACCAGCGGAUUGCGCUACACCAAGUCUACCCAUCUUUCUCGAUCUACCAUGAUUUUUUCUGCUAUCGCGCUCAUCCGGGUGUUAGGCAUCCUCAGUCUGUCCAGAACUUUCGUUGUGGAAGGAUGUGCGGGAGUGAUGUGCGAUUUCUUGUGUCCCCUACUUUCCUUGUUUACGUUUUGCGCAGUGUUGCUUCUUAUUCCAUUGUGGAAUGAUUUAUCCUAGCUAACUUGUUGAGGCAAGUUUCUUGAUCUCAUUGUGCUUCAAUGUACCAAUUCAACUAAUGCUUAUCGUUUUCAAAGUUACAGGUGCAUGCGCCAUUCAUCAACGCCUACGUGUUGGCAUCAUCAACAAUCUUCAAAAUGGGUGACGGAAGGAAAUUGUUUUCCAGUUUUAAAAUAUUAAGCGUUCAGCACAACUCAGCCACAAAACAACGCACUGGAUUGCGCUAAGAACCUGUCGAAACGCGCGCAGCCCCCGGGAGCGGUAGGAGAAAGGAAGAAUGAGAGGAGGAAAAACUAAAACCAGCGCGCAGCUCUGAUGGUACUCUGGACGCGGUAAGAAGAAACAAGAUCGAGAGGAGGAAGAACGGUAAAUUUGGAAGGGGGAGACCGUUCUGCCGUCUACAUAGUGUGAGUAUGCCAAAGCACGUGUUGGAAGGGAGAGAAAAAGUUGGAAUAAACCUCAUGCGAAUGUGUGCAUACAGCAAAUGUAAAGAUGUGUGCCUCAUCAUUUCUAUAAGCAAUCCGAAAAGGGGGUGGAGCAAACACAUUUGUAUGCGUGAGGUACAGAAGAAAUCAGAUCAUGAUAGUAUGUGUGAACGCGAUCGUUCGGGUGGAAGGUGUCUAUGUGUGCGUGAAACCACAUUUCCACUUCUACUGCAAGUGGGUACGUAAGUGGGGCCAUAUGUGUACGACACGAUCCCAUACAAAACUUCGGCUUUUGCGGACUGGGCAGCUUCAAUCUCAGCGGAUCUCUGAGUGCUGGUGACCGGUGGGGAAGGUUCGUGCCGAACCCCGUUCGGGUUUUGCUUCGGCUUCGGGUUUACUUCGGCUUCGGGACCCGACGGAUCGGUUGAAUAAUUUCGCCAACUCAGCUUCAAAGCCACCCAAGUAGCAGAGCCGAAGUUGUUGAGAGGUUUUUCUGUGUGCCAAAGCGAGAGGCCCUGUCUUCUCUCUCUAGAUUUUGGACGGCAAACCGCCGCCCGUGUAGAGGUGUGUGCGUGUGACGAAAAAUUAUGGAUGAAAUACGGGGCAAGCGGGGUUUGAAGUCUUUCGUUGGUCACACACACAUGCAUUUACCAGCGGAUAACGCUGGACCGAGUCUACCCAUCUCUCUCGAUCCAACAUGAUUUUUCUGCUAUCGCGCUCAUCCGGGUGUUAGGCAUCCUCAGUCUGUCCAGAACUUUCCCUAUGGAAGGAUGUACUGAAGUUAGGUGCGAUUUAUUGUGCGACGUACUUUGUUCAUUUACGUUUUGUGCCGUGUUCCUUCUUCCUUUGUUAUGGAAUGAUUUAUCCUAGCAAAUUGUUGAGGUAAGUUUCUUGCUGUGCACUUGUGCAGGUACAUUCAACUAACCCUUGGCGUCUAAAAAGUUACAGGUGUGUGCGCUAUUUAUCAACUACUACCUGCUGGCGUCGUCAACAAUCUUCAAAGGAGCGACGGAAAGAAAACAUUUUCCAGUUUUAAAAUAUUAAAGAAAGUUUUGAUCUAAUCCCAAGCGCUAAACUCUCCAUAAUAAUGCAUACUACAUACAUUCAUUAUUGCUUCAUUCAGCCCCCGGUGAGGACGUCAUUACUUAACAGAAGCCGGUUCAACACGCGCAGCUCCUGUUCAUGACGUCAUCACUAAACUCAAGCCAGCUGAACACGCGCAGCACGGAUGGUACCCCGAGCGCAGUAGGAGGAAGGAAGAACGAGAGGAGGAAGAACGGUAAAUUUGGAAGGGGGAAAGCGUUCUGCCGUCUACACAGCGGGAGUAUGCCAAAACACAUGUGGGAAGGGAGAGGGAUAUUAUUCAAUAAACAGCAUGCGAAUGUGUGCAUAAAGCAAA